rnacentral:rRNA from 1 species
AGGACAAACGCUGGCGGCGUACCUAAGACAUGCAAGUCGAACGGAUUGCAAAUCUUCGGAUGUGCAGUGAGUGGCGAACGGGUGAGUAACGCGUAGGAAUCCACCUCGAUGUGGGGGAUACCACUUGGAAACAGGUGCUAAUACCGCAUGUGGUCGCGAGAAGAAAGGCUGUAGCAAUACAGUCGCGUUGAGAGGAGCCUGCGUCCGAUUAGCUAGUUGGUGGGUAAAGGCCUACCAAGGUGACGAUCGGUAGCUGGUCUGAGAGGAUGGGUCAGCCACACUGGGACUGAGACACGGCCCAGACUCCUACGGGAGGCAGCAGUUAGGAAAUUUUGCCAAUGGGGGAAACCCUGAGCGAGUAACGCCGCGUGGAGGACGACGGCCUUCGGGUUGUAAACUCCUUUUCUGUGGGAAGAACACAAGACGGUACCACAGGAAGAAGCCCGGCUAACUACGCGCCAGCAGCCGC